UUAAAUUUAGUAAUUUACAACAUGCAUUAAAUUCUUAACUCAUGUAAAAUAACAAGUUCUUAUAUUUUCUUAGAUAUUAUUAGUGAAGUAAUUCACUAUAAAGAUUAUGAUCAGAAAUCUCAUAAGAAAUCAAUAAACAUUGAUGUGAUGGAUCUAGAGUAAGCUCUUUCAAUUAAAUUAAAUAUUCAUAUGUAAAAGCACAAAAUUAACGAUUAAUACACUAGAAAAAAAUAGUUCUUAUUAUGACAGAAAAAUUAUGACAAUUUGUCCGAGUGUCACUAAUCUAAAUUAUUGAUGACAUUUACGACCGCCGCAGAUUAAUUAUGACAAUUACAAUCGUCACAUUUAUAGAAAAAAGGAAGCAAAUAUUAAAGGACAACUCUAAAAUGAUGUACUAAUUGCCCACCUAAACCUUAUUUUCGAUUAUACCCCAAAAGAAUUUGUGAAAAAUUUGGAAUAUUAGUCUCUGCUCAAAUUCUUUAAAUUUCACAUGCUCUUCAUCAAUUAAUAAAUUUCACAUACUCUUCUUCAUACUCAUCUUCACAAAGUGGAAUCUUAUUCUCUCCAAGGCUUGAAAUCUCAACCUUCAAGAUUUGAAAUCUCAACCAUUAUCAUCUUCUCAACACAGCUCAGUCACGAUUAAUCUACAUUUAACGGAAUUUCACUUUUGUGAGUAGACAGUGUUAAUUACAAUUAACCGAAGAACUUGAAGUUGCUUGCUGUUCCAUUGUGUCAGGUUCACGAGAACCACAAGUGCUGAAAGUGGAAGUGAAGGUUCAUCUGAUGCUUGCGAUGACAACAAUCUAUAGACUUUAAACAUGGACCAAGGCAAUUACAAUGGAUCAUGUGGUUGAAGAAAUUAGGCAUUUUUUGAUUGUUAGGAGUAUAAUAUUGACUUUAACAUGAUAAGUUUUACCUUUGAUGUAUAUUGACUUGGUGGUUGUAGAUGAAAAAUUACUUCGUCAUUUUGAAUUCUAAAUUGCAAUUUAGAA